UACGUAGGGUGCAAGCGUUAAUCGGAAUUACUGGGCGUAAAGCGUGCGCAGGCGGUUAUGUAAGACAGUUGUGAAAUCCCCGGGCUCAACCUGGGAACUGCAUCUGUGACUGCAUAGCUAGAGUACGGUAGAGGGGGAUGGAAUUCCGCGUGUAGCAGUGAAAUUCGUAGAUAUCAGGAGGAACACCGGUGGCGAAAGCGGCUUCCUGGCCCGACACUGACGCUCAUGUACGAAAGCGUGGGGAGCAAACAGG
rnacentral:rRNA from 1 species